UGUUUCCCUUGAGGCUAGGCCUUCGUCUAUUAGGUGCACAAAACACAUGUUGAAAUGAAUAAUUUAGAAAUACCUGAAAGUAGUUACAUGUCAUCUAAAAUCUUUUCCCAUGACUGUGCCAAAAAAUGGUUUUAGAAAAUCUGAAGUGACUUGAUGUGGGCUGCCUCAAUUAGCAUCCUGUGUUAGAAGAAUGAGGAUUGACAGCAGGAACACGUGAUGCUUUGAAAUUCACCCAGUAGUUCAAGAUAUUAUUAUAAGUUAUCACAAUUAAUUUAUCUUUAUUCUCAAAAUGAAACAAUUAUACAUGUCAGCUCUCUUAGCAUUAUACUCAGCUACUCUGUUCCAGCAAGUUUUAAGAUUUAGAAUUGUUUAUCAAGCAGUAAAUCCUGUGAGGCCUAAUGUUGAGACGGAGUCUUUCUCUGUCGUCCAGGCUGGAGUGCAGUGGCGGGAUCGAGGGAAGAGAGCUAAAUAGGUGAAAUACAGGUAAUAUUUUUAGGGUGGCAAAAGGCUCUUAUAUUGCUGUAUCUAAUGUAACACGGGAUUUUUAGGGCCAUGAAACAGUUGUGAAUGAUAUUGUUAUAAAGAAUACAUGAUGGUAUGUGUUUUGUUAAUACUUAUAGAACUUUACAGCACAGAACUUUACAAUGCAUAAUGUAAACAAAUUAAGUACGAUUAGUAAAUUGGAGGAUUGCAGGAUGGAAUAUAGUCUGUGAAAAAAAAAAAGCAACAAC
rnacentral:lncRNA from 1 species